CCUAUAGCGCAAUUGGAUAGAGCGUCUGACUACGAAUCAGGAGGUUGCAGGUUCGACUCCUGCUAGGUGC
rnacentral:tRNA from 2 species